AAAAACACAGCAAAUGAAUCAAACGGACCAGGUAGCAGGCAAGAGUGUGGUUAUCGUUGGACCAGGAUUCAGGAUCUGACUGAGUAGCUGACUCUUAAUCCAGUUUGUGUUGAUCACCAGGAGGAUCUGGACCUCAGUAUUACCACAUCUAGAGGUGAUAUGCCAACUCCACCUUUGCCUUCCACCAUGUUUGGAAGCUCCCUGAGGCCUCACCAGGAGCAGAUGCUCGUCCCAUGCUUCCUAUAAGCCUGCAGAACUGUGAGCCAUAAUAAACUGUGAAUUAUAAAUUGCCUUUAUAGCAAUGCAAAUGGACCAGUACAGAUGGGAUGCUGGGAAGACAGUUGUUUCCACCUUCAGUAAAGUCCGUGGAACACAGUUGUGACUAUAUUCUAGGCCAGCCAAGAUGCUUGUACUCAGAAAGGAGUGGUCUCAGGACCAUAAGAAAGUGAAAAAAUAAAAAUAAGAAAAUAAAGAAGGGAUUGUCAAUGAAUCAGAAUUCAUCAAGGUCAAAGUCUUAGGAAAUUCCUUCAUGAGGAAGUCUAGGGGGGCUAUGGAAAUGAAAUUUUUAAACAAAUAGGUAUGUGGUGCUGGCAGGAAUAAAUUAUGGACUUAUGAAUAUAACAUAAGAUUCUUUAUUACCUGGUCUCACCCGUCUUUCCACCUCUGCCCCCCUUCUUGCCCGACUCUGUGUAUCACCCAUAAUAAACUACUUACAGCUUCCUAGUGUUAAAUUUACCCUAA
ensembl:lncRNA RASSF8-AS1 RASSF8 antisense RNA 1